AUACGGAGGAUGCAAGCGUUAUCCGGAUUUAUUGGGUUUAAAGGGUGCGUAGGCGGGACUGUAAGUCAGGGGUGAAAUACUGCAGCUUAACUGUAGCAUUGCCUUUGAAACUGCCGUUCUUGAGUACAGUUGGGGUAGGCGGAAUGUGGUGUGUAGCGGUGAAAUGUAUAGAUAUACCACAGAACGCCGAUUGCGAAGGCAGCUUACUAAGCUGUUACUGACGCUGAGGCACGAAAGCGUGGGGAUCAAACAGGAUUAGAUACCCUGGUAGUCCACGCAGUAAACGAUGAUGGCUAACCGCUGGGCUUAUCAGUUCAGUGGCCAAGCGAAAGCGAUAAGCCAUCCACCUGGGGAGUACGACCGCAAGGUUGAAACUCAAAGGAAUUGACGGGG
rnacentral:rRNA from 1 species